UGUUUUACGGGCUGCCGCGGUCGGCGC
rnacentral:sRNA from 1 species